CAGGGAGACAACAAAAUGUUUAAUAUUAUUAUUUUGUCACCUUAGGUCGAUCGGUAUCCCACUUUUUAAUUUAUUAAAAAUUUCAUUUCCUAAGUUUUUCUAGGUCACACCCAUUAUUUUUCCUGGGCCAUUAGCUCAGGUGGUUAGAGCGCACCCCUGAUAAGGGUGAGGUCCCUGGUUCAAGUCCAGGAUGGCCCAUAUCUCUAUGUUGGGGGUAUAGCUCAGUUGGUAGAGCGCCUGCUUUGCAAGCAGGAUGUCAGCGGUUCGAGUCCGCUUACCUCCACUGAUUACCACCUCUUCCAUAACCGGUAAAAAGGAAAUGUUUUGAGUUGUGAUCAAAUUCUGAAAGAAUCUAGCUUCCUAAUGAAAUCAUUAAGAUGCUGGACUCAUUGAAUUAAAUUCAUUGUUUUCAGAGAACCUUGACAACUGCAUAGAUUAUUUUUAAAGACAAUAAGCAUCUUUAAUGAUGCAGAUUUAUUAUUUGUGCGAAAGCAUUAAUAACAAUUCUAUUAAGCUGAUGCUUCAAUUUUGAAGUUAUU
rnacentral:tRNA from 1 species